rnacentral:rRNA from 1 species
AGAGUUUGAUCCUGGCUCAGAUUGAACGCUGGCGGCAUGCCUUACACAUGCAAGUCGAACGGCAGCACGGGUGCUUGCACCUGGUGGCGAGUGGCGAACGGGUGAGUAAUAUAUCGNGAACGUACCUUAUCGUGGGGGAUAACGCAGCGAAAGCUGCGCUAAUACCGCAUACGCCCUGAGGGGGAAAGCGGGGGACCGUAAGGCCUCGCGCGAUUAGAGCGGCCGAUAUCUGAUUAGCUUGUUGGUGGGGUAAAAGCCCACCAAGGCGACGAUCAGUAGCUGGUCUGAGAGGACGAUCAGCCACACUGGGACUGAGACACGGCCCAGACUCCUACGGGAGGCAGCAGUGGGGAAUUUUGGACAAUGGGGGCAACCCUGAUCCAGCAAUGCCGCGUGAGUGAAGAAGGCCUUCGGGUUGUAAAGCUCUUUUGUCAGGGAAGAAACAGCAGCUCUAACACAGUCUGCGAAUGACGGUACCUGAAGAAUAAGCACCGGCUAACUACGUGCCAGCAGCCGCGGUAAUACGUAGGGUGCAAGCGUUAAUCGGAAUUACUGGGCGUAAAGCGUGCGCAGGCGGUUAUACAAGACAGGCGUGAAAUCCCCGG